rnacentral:rRNA from 1 species
GAUUAAGCCAUGCAUGUGUAAGUACAGGCCGACUUAAGGCGAAACCGCGGACGGCUCAUUAAAUCAGAUAUAACUCAUUGGAUCUCUGCUGAACCGCAUUACUUGGAUAACUGUGGUAAUUCUAGAGCUAAUACAUGCCUUUGUAGUCUCCGACCGCGAGGGAGGAGCGCUUUUAUUAGACCAAAACCCUCGGCAGCCGGUUCCCGCAAGGGGCCGGCCGCACACAUCUUGGUGAAUCAGAAUAACUUUUGCCGAGCGCACGACCCCUCCCGUAACCCGGGUUGGGUCGGCGCCGCGUCCUGCAGGCGUCUGCCUUAUCAGCUCUCGAUUGUAGGUUAAACGCCUACAAUGGCUAUCACGGGUAACGGGGAAUCAGGGUUCGAUUCCGGAGAGGGAGCCUGAGAAACGGCUACCACAUCUAAGGAAGGCAGCAGGCGCGCAAAUUACCCACUCCCGGCACGGGGAGGUAGUGACGAAAAAUACUGUUGCGAGCCCCGAACGGGGCCUCGCAAUUGGAAUGAGUACACUUUAAAUCCUUGUACGAGGAUCGAGUGGAGGGCAAGUCUGGUGCCAGCCGCCGCGGUAAUUCCAGCUCCACUAGCGUAUAUUAAAGUUGUUGCGGUUGAAACGCUCGUAGUUUGACUUCUGCUCCGGACCGGCGGUCCGCCUUAGCGGCGGCUACUGCCGGGUUCCGAGCUGUGUCCCCGCCGGCGCACAUGGGGUUUUUAUGCCCUUAACCGGGUGUCCCCUUGUGGCCGGCACGUUUACUUUGAAAAAAUUAGAGUGCUCAGAGCAGGCUGGUUUUUGCUUACAGCCCGAAUGGUCGUGCAUGGAAUGAUGGAACAGGACCUCGGUUCUAUUUUGUCGGUUUUUCGGAACCCGAGGUAAUGAUUAAUAGAAGCAGACGGGGGCAUUCGUACUGCGACGCUAGAGGUGAAAUUCUUAGACCGUCGCAUGACGACCUACUGCGAAAGCAUCUGCCAAGGAUGUUUUCAUUGAUCAAGAACGAAAGUUAGAGGUUCGAAGGCGAUCAGAUACCGCCCUAGUUCUAACCUUAAACGAUGCUGACUAGCGAUCCGCCGCAGUUAUUCCCAUGACCCGGCGGGUAGCUUCCGGGAAACCAAAGUCUUUGAGUUCCGGGGGAAGUAUGGUUGCAAAGCUGAAACUUAAAGGAAUUGACGGAAGGGCACCACCAGGAGUGGAGCCUGCGGCUCAAUUUGACUCAACACGGGGAAACUCACCAGGCCAGGACACCGGAAGGAUUGACAGAAUGAAGGCUCUUUCUCGAUUCGGUGGGUGGUGGUGCAUGGCCGUUCUUAGUUGGUGGAGUGAUCUGUCUGGUUAAUUCCG